rnacentral:rRNA from 1 species
CAACCGAGAUUCCCCCAGUAGCGGCGAGCGAACGGGGAGGAGCCCAGAGCCUGAAUCAGUGUGUGUGUUAGUGGAAGCGUCUGGAAAGGCGCGCGAUACAGGGUGACAGCCCCGUACACAAAAAUGCACAUACUGUGAGCUCGAUGAGUAGGGCGGGACACGUGGUAUCCUGUCUGAAUAUGGGGGGACCAUCCUCCAAGGCUAAAUAC